rnacentral:lncRNA from 10 species
UAUUAUACAUUAAUGAGAAUGAACCAUUGCCACACACAGCAAAAUGGAUGAAUUUCAGCAACAUAAAGUUGAAUAAAAAGUCAAACAUAAAAGAAUAUAUACUGCAAAAUUUCAUUUUAACCAAUUUCAGAAAUUGAUUAUACUAAAAUUAAUUGUGCUAUGGUUAUGAAAUAGGAUAUUAUACAGUCAUUAAAACAUUCGAAGACAUUAAAAACUCAUAAUUUAAUAAGACAGUAAUUUUAAAAACUGUAUAUAUAAUAUAUGACUCCCAUUCUGGGAAAUAAAAUACAUGUAUACGUUGCUAGGAGCAUAAGAAAGGUGUGCAGAGAGGUAUCAAUCAGGGUCUCAAUGAGAAAUAUAGUGAUAUACUCAAAUUAGAAUAAUAAAAGGAGGCUUUAUUUUAAAAAGGGGAGAGCAGGAUGUAGGGGAACUGCAAGGAAUAACACAGUUACUCCAAACAACAAGAGAGCUAUUACCACCCUUAGACUUGAAGAGACAAGAAGAAGACCAGUUACCAAAGCACAGGAGAGAGUUGGCUAGAGGUGGCCUUCUUGAGAGGAGCAGUGGUUGCAGGCCAGGGACACAGCCAGGCCAAGAUGAGCACAGGGAGGAAAAGGGGAAUGGUAUAAUUCACUCUCCUUCCUCCUGUCUGUCUUCUGCUGGGGCUUUGCAUUAGCAAAAGCGAACAAGGCAUCUCUGAUGUGGUCCAUACAGGUUGGCUCACCAGACAGAGAAAUGGGUAUGCAAAGGUAUGGGUGUGUCUAUCAAUACUGAGGGUGUUCAGGGGCAGGUCUCAAUCCAAGUGGCACAGAUUACACAUGGGAUUGAUUUCCUGGAUUAUCUUAAGAGAGGAGAUGCUGCAGGGAUGAUCAAUUGUUUUCUCUAUGUACCUUUUUAUUGCUUUACUGUAACAACAAUAUGUGCAGUAUUUGUUUUAAUUCUGGGGGAAAAAUGUAUCUGUGUUGUGAAGAGGUGUGUAUAUGUGGCUGUGAGUGAAUGUAUGUGAGUGUAUGUGUGAGAGAGAGAAAGAAAGACGGGAGGGUUAUGACAGGGAGUGUUUUAAUGAGAUUGUAUAUGUGCAGGUGAAGUGGUAACGGUAAAGUGAGAUGUCGUGUGUGUGUGUGCAUGUGUCUGUGGGGGAGGCAUAUUAAUGAGUGUAUGCGUAUAUGAAAUGUGGAGGUGGGGUAUAUGUGAACGAGGACAUUUGUGAGAGUGUACAAGUGGAUCUGAAACUAUAUGUGUGUGAGGGGUGUGUGUGUGUGCACAUGUAUUUAUGUAUGUGAAUAGGUGUGUGGCAGGGAUGUGUGUGAUGGGACAUACAUAUUAGCAUGUGUGCAUGCAGGUGAACACAUAUGUGAGUGUCCUUAGAUACAUCUAUACCGAUAGAAAUAGAAAUAUUUUCUUCCAGAAAAAAAGAAAAACUAGAAGAAAUUAUGCCAAAAAUGUUAAUAAUAGUAAUCUCUAAUGACAGGAUAAGAAGCAACUUUCAUUUUCUUUACUUUUUUGUUCGAUUGUAAUCAGGAAAACAAUGAACAUUUUAGUC